AGUCAUGAAGAGACACAGAGAUAAUGUGUCUCAUGUGUGUUGCUAUGAUAACUAAAAUGAAGUAAAAGGAAAGAGAACUAUUUUACACAGUUGCUGUCCCCCUUGAGGAAUGCUAGUAAAGGAAGGAAGAGCCUAUGGAAGAACAAUGGAGUAGCUAUUCUAACGGGACUAAGAUUGAAGGUAAUCACCACCAAAGAAAGGAUUUCCAAGCAGAAGAGGGAUGUUGACAAGGUCCAAGAAUAAACAGAAUGGUGCUUGUGCUGGAAAUAUGUUAUUAAGUAAUAAAUACUAAUAAUCAGACACAAACAAUGUCUGAUUCUAUGAAAAUACUUGUAGAAACAAAAAAAAACCAGCAUUC